CGCCCUCAAAACGCCUCCCUCUCGUGACUUGUGAAUUUUGACCUGACCUCAAGUCCUCAUUCAACUUCAUUGUAAAGAAAGGAAAGGUUGCUGGAUGAAACCGUCGAAAUAUGUUGUACUAUAGACAUAUUUUGCCGGCUUUGAGGUCCCCCUUAACUUUUAGAAAUUGCCGGUUGUUGUCGUCGGUUUUCACUUCUCCACAGUUACAAUCACUCGGGGAAGGCGUUAAGCAGUUUGUAAAGGAUAAUGUGGAACUGUGUCAACCAGACAGUAUUCAUGUUUGUGACGGCUCGAGAGAUGAAAAUCAGAAACUUUUACACAAGCUUCAGAAAGAAGGAAGACUAACAAAAGUGACGAAA